rnacentral:rRNA from 1 species
CGGACGGGUGAGUAACGCGUGGGUAACCUGCCUUAUACCGGGGGAUAACAGCCAGAAAUGACUGCUAAUACCGCAUAAGCGCACAGAACCGCAUGGUUCCGUGUGAAAAACUCCGGUGGUAUAAGAUGGACCCGCGUUGGAUUAGCUAGUUGGCAGGGCAGCGGCCUACCAAGGCGACGAUCCAUAGCCGGCCUGAGGGGGUGAACGGCCACAUUGGGACUGAGACACGGCCCAG